rnacentral:rRNA from 1 species
UAGAGUUUGAUCCUGGCUCACAGCGAACGCUGGCGGCAGGCCUAACACAUGCAAGUCGAGCGGACGUAGCAAUACGUCAGCGGCAGACGGGAGAGUAACACGUGGGAACGCGCCCUUCGGUUCGGAAUAACUCAGGGAAACUUGGGCUAAUACCGAAUACGCCCUUACGGGGAAAGAUUUAUUGCCGAAGGAACGGUCCGCGUCCGAUUAGCUUGUUGGUGAGGUAACGGCUCACCAAGGCGACGAUCGGUAGCUGGUCUGAGAGGAUGACCAGCCUCACUGGGACUGAGACACGGCCCAGACUCCUACGGGAGGCAGCAGUGGGGGAUAUUGGACAAUGGGCGCAAGCCUGAUCCAGCCAUGCCGCGUGGGUGAUGAAGGCCCUAGGGUUGUAAAGCCCUUUCGGCGGGGAAGAUAAUGACGGUACCCGCUGAGGAAGCCCCGGCUAACUUCGUGCCAGCAGCCGCGGUAAUACGAAGGGGGCUAGCGUUGCUCGGAAUUACUGGGCGUAAAGCGCACGUACGCGGCUUCUUAAGUCGGAGGUGAAAUCCUGUAGCUCAACUCCAGAACUGCCUUCGAUACUGGGAGGCUCGAGUCCGGGAGAGGUGAGUGGAACUGCUAGUGUAGAGGUGAAAUUCGUAGAUAUUCGCAAGAACACCAGUGGCGAAGGCGGCUCACUGGCCCGGUACUGACGCUGAGGUGCGAAAGCGUGGCGAGCAACACGACUAGAUACCUGGUCGUCCACGCCGUCAACGAUGGAUGCUAGCCGUUGGCGAGCUGCUCGUCAGUGGCCUGCUAACGCUUGAUGCUUCCCGCCUGGGGAGUACUGUCGCCAUGAUUAAACUCUAC